rnacentral:miRNA from 1 species
AAUCUCACCCCUGCACCUUGAU